rnacentral:rRNA from 1 species
AGUGAACGCUGGCGGCGUGCUUAACACAUGCAAGUCGAACGAGAACGGGUUAUAGCUUGCUAUAAUUGUCAGCUAAGUGGCGCACGGGUGAGUAAUGUAUAGGUAAUAUGCCUCUUACUAAGGGAUAACAAAUGGAAACGUUUGCUAAUACCUUAUACUCCUUAUUAACAUAAGUUAAUAAGGGAAAGCUUUAUUGGUAAGAGAUUAGCCUGUAUUGUAUCAGUUAGUUGGUGGGGUAAUGGCUUACCAAGACUAUGACACAUAACUGGUUUGAGAGGAUGAUCAGUCACACUGGAACUGAGACACGGUCCAGACUCCUACGGGAGGCAGCAGUGGGGAAUAUUGCACAAUGGACGAAAGUCUGAUGCAGCAACGCCGCGUGGAGGAUGACACAUUUCGGUGCGUACACUCCUUUUAUAUGAGAAGAUAAUGACGGUAUUAUAUGAAUAAGCACCGGCUAACUCCGUGCCAGCAGCCGCCGUAA